GAUGAAUAACGUAGCGAAAUGCGAUAAGUAAUGUGAAUUGCAGAAUUCAGUGAAUCAUCGAAUCUUUGAACGCACAUUGCGCCCCUUGGUAUUCCGAGGGGCAUGCCUGUUCGAGCGUCAUUUCAACCCUCAAGCACAGCUUGGUCUUGGGCUUCGCCGCUAACCCGGCGGGUCUUAAAAUCAGUGGCGGUGCCGUCGGGCCCUGAGCGCAGUAAUCUCUCUCGCUAUAGGGUCCCGGCGGAUGCUGGCCAGUAACCCCCAAUUUUCUAUGGUUGACCUCGGAUCAGGUAGGGAUACCCGCUGAACUUAAGCAUAUCAAUAAGCGGAGGA
rnacentral:misc_RNA from 1 species